ensembl:snRNA U6 U6 spliceosomal RNA
CUGCAGUCGUUGUCAGCACAUAUACUAAAACUGCAACAAUACAGAGAAGAUUAACAUAGCCCCUGUGUAAGAAUGACAUGUAAAAUCGUGAAGCAUCCCAUAUUUUU